GGGGAUGGCUAACAGCUCCUGAAUGUUGCUGUCCUUAUCCUUGUGAUCGAACUUCCAUUGAACCCAUCAAAUUGUCUUGAACAAAGAAAUUGCUUGUCUCAUCUGUGACUUGUGUCUGUUUUGCAAACAUGUGGGAAACCAGCCUGAAGACAAAGCUAACCUAGAAAGAUGACAAGGAGCACUGAAGACAAAGAUCGAAUCAUCCCAGAUUCCUGCCCCACAAAACAUGGGUUGCUGGCACAUGA